GGGCGGGACAGCUGGACGGGGUGGGCGGGGCAGCCGGACGGGGUGGGCGGGGCAGCGGAAUGGGGCGGGGCGAGUUGCGCGGCUGCUGCUUGGGACCCGCCCGCUCCACGAAGGCAAUUGGGAAAUCUGAGAAAUGUAUUGAGCGUCUGCUACGUGCCUCUGACUGUGUGUCUCCAAGUUUGCAUGUAGUUGGAAUGACCAGCAGGACAGUACCAGCCAAGAGCUUUAAGCUUUACAGCCUGAGACCACCAGAGACAAUCCUUAGACAAGUGUGCCUGGACUCUUCAUCGGGUCAAAACUUUUUGAGGUGUUUCUGAUCCUGUUUCAUCCUAAACAUUUGUCACUUGAUGAGGGAAGUUGCUGAGAGAAGCAACUGGAAGCAAGUAGAGAGGCCCACAGGAAGCUUAGGCAACCAAUUUUGGACCUGUUUGAAACCAACUUCCCUAUAUCAGAAACAGGAAAAGAAAGAAGUUACACUCUGCCUCAUGAGCCAACUGGAGAACUGAGCUCAGCAUCUUGCCUUAUUGGUGCACAUUCUAUUCACAUAAUGAAGUUCUUUCAUUUUCUGCUUGGAGAGACCUGCUGACCUCACACCUGAAUGAGGCGAUGUCGUCCUCCCUUCCAGUCUCUCAGAACCCAGCCACCAUCUUGUGAGGAAGCUUCCCACGUGGAGAGGGCCUAAGGACUUCUGACAGCAGCCAAAACCAACUUACCAGCUCUGUGAGCGAACCACCUUGGAAGUCUGUCCUCCAGACCAAGUGAAGCCUUCAGAUGACUGUAGUCACACCUAACAUCUGACUAUGACCUCACGAGGGACCCCUAACCAGAACCACUCGGCUAAACUACUGCCGGAUUCACAACCCACAGAAACCAUGAAAGACAUAAAUGGUCAUUGCCAUCUUAACCCGCUAAGUUUUGCAGUGAUUUUUUUUAUGCAGCUUUAGAGAACAAAGGAGAGGAGUGCAACAGAAAGGGGCCAUCCCAGAACCCUCAAAGGUGUGGGGCCUAGGACAGGGCCUCUUUUGCCUGGAUUUAGGGCCGUACUGAGGAAAGGAUAUGGAUUUUAUUUCAGUAGCUGGGUAUUUCCUAGGGAGGGAUGAGCUUAUUUAUACAAAAGAGGAACUUGCAGGACUGAGCAGGUGUUGGAGAUCAGGAAAUGUUUUUAUAAAAGCUGUAACAAAGCAGCCCUUUAUCUGGAGUAUACAAAGAAAUGAAAAUCUAAUGAGACCAUUUAUUUGCUUGAUUGUAUAAACACACAAAAAUGUACACAUCUUGGAAUAGUCACAGCGGAAGGAGAUCUGCUUAAGCCAGUGAUGCCGUCUGUCACUUUUCAAAAAUGCCUGUGAAACUUCUCUUUCGGAAUUGCCCACAAAGCUGGAUUACGAGCUUCCCAUGAAACCAGACUCAUCACUCAAGCUGCGACUUGGUUUGUGACCCCAGACAGCAUUUCCCAGCUUGAUCACCCAACCUACUCAGCAGACUUCGUUCUGAAUGACUUAGAACUGUUUCCAAAACUCACACCCGCCCUUGGAGGAUACAUGCUGUCAGACUUAUCUUUCUGCCACACCUCGGAUCAUGCGCUUCAGUGCCUCUCGGUUGCAUAGAGAAUUAAGCUCCAACAUGUCAGCUAGAUUUUCAGAACUUUAUACAACAUGCAGCCCCCACCUAGCUUUGCAGUUCUAUCAUCCCAGAACACACGAUGCCCUCUCUACUUACUGAUGAUAGGUACCAUUUACUGAGCCCUUAUUAUGUGCCCCACACUGUGCUAAGAGCUUAAUAUAAUCUCUCAUUUUGUCCUUAUAUGACUUUGUAAGAUAAAUGUUAUCUCUAUAGUAUAAAUAAUAAUAAAACAGGGGUCACUAACACUUUGUACAGCAGUUACAAUGUGCUAAGCCACCGUCCAAUAGAAAUAUGAGCCAUAUUUGUCAUUUUAAUUUUCUAAUUGCCACACUAAAAAAGUAAAAACUAGGUGAAAUUGAUUUUAAUAAAGUAUUUUAUCAAUGAGCAUUUAAUCAAUAUAAAAACUUUUUAAUGAUAUAUAUCAUAUUCUUUUUUAGUGUGUAUUAAAUCUUUGAAAUCCAUUGUGUAUUUUACACCUACAGCACGUCUCAAUUUGGACACUAAAUUUUUAUUGGAAAUACUUGAUCUAUAUUUAAAUAUUGUAAAAAGUACAGUGAAAAAAGUAGAUUCACAUACCCAAGUUGUUCCAAACAUGCUUAAAAGAUUUCCAAUACCUGAAUCAAGUACCAAAUAAUCAUUUUUUUCUAUGCUCAUCCCUAUUGACAAAACUGAUUUAAUUUUAAACUUUUAACUUCACUUUCAAUCAAUUAAAAUUAAAUAAAAUUAAAAAUUUAGUUUCUCAGUUGCACUAGCCACUUACCAAGUGCUCAUGUGGUUAGUGGCUGCCAUGUUGGGCAAUGCAACUCUAGGCACUUUACUACUGUCAACACAAACGUUUGAGGUAGCUUCAUUUUACAGAUAAAGAAAUAGAGGCAUAGAGAAGUAGUAACUUGCACUAGUAUACACAGUUAAUAAGCUGAUGUUCAGAAUGGUUGAUUUACCUUAGCUAGUAAAGGUUGGAAACAGGAUUUGAACUCAGGAUUGUUUGUGUCCAAAGUCUAAAUUCUUAUCCACUGUGCUAGUCUGCUCUACAGACUUAAUUUCUCACUAUUCUCCUAAAAUCCUUACUUUCUUGAUUCUGGUCUUUUUAUCAGACUGUUUCCUCUGUCUAGAAUGCCAUGGAAGGCCCAUUUUGAAUGUUAUUCAUUCAUUCAGACAGUCAUUCAGUCAAUCACUUUUUCAACAAAUAUUGCCAGCCAUGUUUCAAAUAUCUCCCACGUGAAAUACAGCCGUGAUCAAGACAGACGUCCCCCCUGCCCGCACAGAGCUUCAAUUCUGCCGUAACGCUUCUCACACUUCGGUCUCAGGAUUCUGUAACACUCUGAACGUUAUUGAGGACCCGAAGGGCUUUUGAUUAUGUGAGUUAUAGCUGCCAAUCUUUAUUGUACUAGAAAUUAAAACUAGGAAAUUGUAAAAAUAUUUAUUCAUUCAUUCAAAAAUAACAUGAUGAACAUAUUACAUGUAAACAUAAAUAAUGUAUAACUGAAAAGACAACUAUAUUUUCCAAAACAAAAAAUAAGAGUAGCAUUGUUUUAUAAUUUUGCUAAUCUCUUUAAUGUGUGACCUAAUAAAAGGCAGCUGGGUUCUCAUCUCUGCUUUUGUCUUUAAUCUGUUGCAAUUUGUCAUUUUGGUUGAAGUAUGUAAGAAAAUCUUGCCUCACUAAGAUAUAUAAUUGGAAAACAGAGGAGUAUCUUAAAUGCUUUUUCAGAUAAUUGCGGAAAUUCUUCUUUGUUACUAUACCAAAAAUCAACAAGUGCUAAUUUCUUUAAAGUUAGCUACAAUGUGGAAUCUGAAACCAUAUCAAUGGUAAAUAUAUGUUUCAUUGAUCCUUUCUAUUGUCUUUUUUGUUUCAAUAUCGUUUAUUUCUGCUCUUAUUUUUAUUAUUUCCCUCCUUCUACUGACUCUGGGCCUUGUUUGUUCUUCUUUUUCUAGUUCUGUUAGGUGUCGUUUGAGGUUGCUUACGUGAGCUUUUUCUUGUUUAGUGAGGUGAGCCUGUAUUGCGAUGAAUUUCCCUCUUAGGACUGCUUUUGCUGCAUCCCAGAUGAUUUGGUAUGUCGUGUUCUCAUUUUCAUUUGUCUCCAGAUAAUAUUUGAUUUCUUCUUUAAUUUCUUCAAUGAUCCAUUGUUUGUUGAGAAGCGUGUUGUUU
ensembl:lncRNA